CGGAGGGGCUAGCGUUGUUCGGAAUUACUGGGGCGUAAAAGCGCACGUAGGCGGACUGGAAAGUUGGGGGUGAAAUACCCGGGGCGUCAACCUCGGAACUGCCUUCAAAACUAAUCAGUCUGGAGUUCGAGAGAGGUGAGUGGAAUUCCGAGUGUAGAGGUGAAAUUCGUAGAUAUUCGGAGGAACACCAGUGGCGAAGGCGGCUCACUGGCUCGAUACUGACGCUGAGGUGCGAAAGCGUGGGGGAGCAAACAGGAUU
rnacentral:rRNA from 1 species